AUUGAACGCUGGCGGCAUGCUUUACACAUGCAAGUCGAACGGAAGCGCGGGCUUCGGCCUGGCGGCGAGUGGCGAACGGGUGAGUAAUGCAUCGGAACGUGCCCAGUAGUGGGGGAUAGCCCGGCGAAAGCCGGAUUAAUACCGCAUACGACCUGAGGGUGAAAGCGGGGGACCGAAAGGCCUCGCGCUAUUGGAGCGGCCGAUGUCGGAUUAGCUAGUUGGUGGGGUAAAGGCUUACCAAGGCGACGAUCCGUAGCUGGUCUGAGAGGACGACCAGCCACACUGGGACUGAGACACGGCCCAGACUCCUACGGGAGGCAGCAGUGGGGAAUUUUGGACAAUGGGGGCAACCCUGAUCCAGCCAUGCCGCGUGCGGGAAGAAGGCCUUCGGGUUGUAAACCGCUUUUGUUCGGGAAGAAAUCCUCUGGGCUAAUACCCCGGGGGGAUGACGGUACCGGAAGAAUAAGCACCGGCUAACUACGUG
rnacentral:rRNA from 1 species